rnacentral:rRNA from 1 species
UACAGAGGGUGCUAGCGUUAAUCGGAUUUACUGGGCGUAAAGCGUGUGUAGGCGGUUCGUUAAGUCGGAUGUGAAAGCCCUGGGCUCAACCUAGGAAUUGCAUUCGAUACUGGCGGGCUAGAGUACGGUAGAGGGCGGCGGAAUUCCGGGUGUAGCGGUGAAAUGCGUAGAUAUCCGGAGGAACACCGAUGGCGAAGGCAACCGCCUGGGCCUGUACCGACGCUGAGACACGAAAGCGUGGGGAGCAAACAGG